rnacentral:rRNA from 1 species
GAUGAACGCUGGCGGCGUGCCUAAUACAUGCAAGUCGAGCGAACAGACGAGGAUCGUUCUCCUCUUACGUUAGCGACGGACGGGUGAGUAACACGUAGCUAACCUACCUAUAAGACUUGAAUAACGGCGAGGAACCGGAGCUAAUACCGGGUAAUAUAUUGAACCGCAUGGUUCAAGAGUGAAAGACUGUUUUUCUGUCACUUAUAGAUGGAUCCGCGCCGCAGUAGCUAGUUGGUAAGGUAACGGCUUAGCAAGGCAACGAUGCGGAGCCGACCUGAGGGGGGGAUAGGCCACACUGGAACUGAGACACGCUCCAGACUCCUACGGGAGGCAGCAGUAGGGAAUCUUCCGCAAUGGGCGAAAGCUUGACGGAGCAACGCCGAGUGAGUGAUGAAGGUCUUCGGAUCGUAAAACUCUGUUAUUAGGGAAGAACAAAUGUGUAAGUAACUAUGCACGUAUUGACGGUACCUAAUCAGAAAGCCCCGGCUAACUACGUG